AAAGAUAGACCGGAGAUGAGGAGUAUUUCCUUCUUUUUUCUUUCCUUUUCUUUCCUUUUCCUUUCUCAGAGUUUCUGUUACUUACCAAACAGAGUUUCCUCCCACCAGGCAACGACUGGCUAACCAAACUAAUAAGCACCGGCUUUCCCGCAGCAGCCUUCUCCUCCUCCUCCUCCUCCUCCCGAAGUAACCGUAAAUCAGGCUGUUUGCUGGCCUCCUCAGCUCCUCUAUCAACAGAAGGGGUUGAUCAUGGGUCAGAUUAGCCAAUUGUCAGAUGAUACUCUUGCCUCUAUAUUGUCUCGAUUGCCAUUGGAGGAAGCAAUACGCACCAGCAUCCUCUCAAGUCGAUGGAGACACCUAUGGAAACGUAGUACCUCUCUCAACUUUGAUUCCGAGAAAACAUUUGAAAGAUAAAGGUACAAGCCAGAGUUACUUAAGUCUGAAACAAGUAAGUUUGUCACAUGGGUUAAUCAUGUUUUGGAAGCUCAUGAUUCUAGUACUAUAGAAGAGUUUAAAGUGAGUUUUCGCUUAGAUAAACGCUUCAAGUUUGAUAUUGAUGGGUGGAUCAAGUUUGCAUUGUCAAGGAAAGUUCAAAGACUGGAGUUGAACCUCCUGUCCAAUAGUGGAUAACUGGAUAUGUAGAAGCAAGAAAAGGUUACACUUUUUCGUUGGAGCUAUUUGCUGAAAUUGAAGAGAUUUGUUUGAGUUCAAGGUUUGGCAUCACGGGCAAUGUUAUGUUAGCUGACAUCAAGUCCCUUAAAGAAGUAUCGUUAAAGCAAGCAUCUACAUGUAGGCGAUGAAGUUGUUGAGUUCCUUCUGUUAAAUUGUCCAUAUCUUCAACAUUUAUCUAUCCACGGGUCUUUUUCACUGAUUAACUUAAAGUGGGUGGCCCCGUUUGUGCGUUGAAAUACUUGGAGGUACUGGGUUGUCCCUCCAUCAAAUCCAUCCAGAUCUCUGUUUUAAAUCUUGUUUCCUUCAGUUACGUUGGAGUAAAGACAAACUUACUUCUUGAGAAUGUUCUGUCACUUGUUGAUGUCUGUACUGGUAAUGGCAUGGUUACCUCCUAUUUUGGUGGUUUGAUGAAUGAUUCAUUUUCUCUGCUUUCAUGCUGCCUCGAGACCCUCACAUUGAAACCGGAUAUCGUGGCAGCCUGGGAAUCUAACCUUUCUGUUAGUAAGAGAAUGGUUCAAAGGUGUAGUCGACAUUUUCACCAUCGAUGCCUCAGGGAGGUGAGAUUGGGAGGGUAUUAUGGUCGUAAAAGUGAUCUUGAAGUUGCAAUCUUUUUUUUAGAGAAUGCCGUGGCACUUGAGAAGAUGAUUAUUAAUCCUCGCAAUGAAUCACCAUUUCUUCCCGAUAAUGCUUUCUCAAGGCAACGAGCUGCUAGAAGUCGUGCCAAGCAGCAACUUGACGGAAUAGUACCCGAGGGAGUCAAGUUAGUGAUCCUUCAAAUUUAACGGAGUAGCUUACAAUGUGCAUGAUGUUGUUUAUUGGUGGAAGAUAGAAGUCGAGAUAGUUCAUUAGCUAAGCUUCCAGCUUGGGUGAGUACGAUCGAGACUGUAGGUUAAUCAAUAACAUCGGGUUUGGUUGAUAAAAAAAUCCACUAUUCGGCUCAGUUCAUGACUCCUAACAUGUUCGGGCUACUGGAUUUGGCUCAGGCUUGGGUUAUUACUACUUUUGUUAUUGAACUUCCUCUUAUAAAAGAAAUUUCUAUGUUCAUCCUUCGAUGGAGUUAUUUCUCCAAUUGCUUAAAAA